rnacentral:tRNA from 1 species
GCAUUGGUGGUUCAGUGGUAGAAUUCUUGCCUGCUAUGCAGGGGGCUUGGGUUUGAUUCCUGGCCAAUACA